rnacentral:rRNA from 1 species
UACGUAGGGGCCUAGCGUUGUCCGGAUUUAUUGGGCGUAAAGAGCUCGUAGGCGGUUUGGUGAGUCGGGUGUGAAAUCUCCACGCUCAACGUGGAGGGGCCACCCGAUACUGCCAUGACUAGAGUCCGGUAGGGGAGUGUGGAAUUCCCGGUGUAGCGGUGAAAUGCGCAGAUAUCGGGAGGAACAUCAGUGGCGAAAGCGACUUCCUGGACCAAUACUGACGCUCAUGUGCGAAAGCGUGGGGAGCAAACAGG